UACGUAGGGGGCAAGCGUUGUCCGGAAUCAUUGGGCGUAAAGAGCGUGUAGGCGGUUCGGUAAGUCCGCUGUGAAAGUCGGGGGCUCAACCCUCGGAUGCCGGUGGAUACUGUCGAGCUUGAGUACGGAAGAGGCGAGUGGAAUUCCUGGUGUAGCGGUGAAAUGCGCAGAUAUCAGGAGGAACACCAAUUGCGAAGGCAGCUCGCUGGGACGUUACUGACGCUGAGACGCGAAAGCGUGGGGAGCAAACAGG
rnacentral:rRNA from 1 species